AUGCCCCUGCAAACAGCUCAGCGUCCCCUCUGCUCCCAUCCUGCCAGGCCAGCACCACUGUCCCAGCGUGGGCACCCUGUCCAAGUAAGCGCAGCUCCUUCAGCACCGCCGGGUGCCCACGUCCCCGAGCCCCCCAGAACCGCCUGCCCGCGCGGCUCAGGGCUGCAGCAGGUACUUCUCCUCGUUCCUCGCCUCAUCCGCGUCAGAGGGGGGGCCCUUCUUGGGGCACGACGGGGUCCUGCAGGCCUUGCAGAGGAUGAGGAAGAGGAUGAGGAUGAGCAACGCGAUGAUGCAGUUGAAAGAAAUCGCAACGACUGCUCCGGUGGAGAGAGCCGCCCCCAUCGCCGCUGCCCCGUGGGGAGAAACGGGACCCCCGGCUCGGCCCCGCGCUUGGGACGCCGGCGCAGCCUCCGCCCGGGGGCAUUGGCAGGGGGCAGGGGGGACGGCUGCGGUGCUGGCAGCGGGACAGCCCGGGGGUCAGGCAGGCAGCAGGACCCCCGACACGGCUGGGCCUCCGGGAGCCGUGACCUCGGCUUCAGCGGGGGAGGCUCGGAGCUUUCCCAAGGCUUCCUCUCCUCCAGCAGCGCGGCGGGGCCGUGUCUUCUCCCUCGGGGACCUGGAAGGGAGAAAGUCACCGUCACCGCCAGCACCAGGGGAUGGGGUGCCCGAGCCCCCCGGGGGUGGCUGCCUCCUGCAAAGCCCCGGCCCCGAAGAGGCUCAGGGGGACGGAGGCUGCCAUUUGGGGGGCUCCUCGCAGCCUCCACAGGCGCUCCCCAGCUGCCUCCCUCCAUCCCGGGCCAGGGUCGGGGUGACGGAGCCGGAGGUGUCCCGGGGGCCUUCCCGGCCCCAAAUCCCGUCCCCAGCCUCCCUCCCGGGCAGCCUCGGCCCUGCCGCCGGCCCCCGGCCGCCCUCCGUGCCCUCCCAAAACGGGGCGAGGCCCCCCCCAUCCCUGAACACCGCGGAGAAGGGGGGUGCCCGCAGCCCCCGCUGCAGAUCCCACAGCCGAGGAGCCCCGGGGGCACCGGGCGGCAGCAACAGGUCCCUCCGGAGCCUCCCUCCCGUCCCGGGGCCCCGGCGUUACCUGCCUCCGCUCCGCCCCGCGAACCGCCGGGACCCCGCGGGCGGCGCUGCCGGGACCGGGGCCCGGGGGUCCCGGGGGUGCCCGGGUCCGGGGGUCCCGGGGGUGCCGGGUCCGGGGGUGCCGCUGCCGGCGCGGGGCCGCCCGGAGGUGCCGCAGCCCCGCGCGCUGCCGCUGCCUCCCGCCGCCACCGGGGGCGGCUCCCGCCGGCGCCCUGCCCUCGGCCACGCCCCCUCGGGGCCGGCCGCGCCCCCUCCCCGCCGCUGUUGCGGGCUUGCACGCGCACGUGCAUGCAGACAGCCACGUGCACGCACCUUUGCACAGCCACACGCACACGCAUGCACCCCCCCCCCCGACGUGUGCAAGCACGUUUGCAUGCCCGGACAUACAUGCAUAUGUUUGCACACGCAUGCACACGUUUGCACACGCACACCCAGGCCUGUGCACACACGUUUGCACGCAGGUGGGCAUGUGCACCCGUGCAUGCACACACGUGCAUGCACACACGCAUGCACGAACACACACACAUGUACACAUAUGCAUGCGUACACACGUUCUUGCACGCAUACACGCAUUCACACACGUAUGCUUGA
ensembl:lncRNA